rnacentral:rRNA from 1 species
UUAGAGGAAGUAAAAGUCGUAACAAGGUUUCCGUAGGUGAACCUGCGGAAGGAUCAUUACCUAGAGUUUGUGGGCUUUGCCCACUGUCUCUUACCCAUGUCUUUUGAGUACUUACGUUUCCUCGGUGGGCUCGCCCGCCGGUUGGACAAUUUAAACCAUUUGCAGUUGCAAUCAGCGUCUGAAAAACAUAAUAGUUACAACUUUCAACAACGGAUCUCUUGGUUCUGGCAUCGAUGAAGAACGCAGCGAAAUGCGAUAAGUAGUGUGAAUUGCAGAAUUCAGUGAAUCAUCGAAUCUUUGAACGCACAUUGCGCCCCUUGGUAUUCCAUGGGGCAUGCCUGUUCGAGCGUCAUUUGUACCUUCAAGCUCUGCUUGGUGUUGGGUGUUUGUCUCGCCUUGCGCGUAGACUCGCCUUAAAACAAUUGGCAGCCGGCGUAUUGAUUUCGGAGCGCAGUACAUCUCGCGCUUUGCACUCAUAACGACGACGUCCAAAAGUACUUUUUACACUCUUGACCUCGGAUCAGGUAGGGAUACCCGCUGAACUUAAGCAUAUCAAUA